CGUGGAGACAGGUGGUGCGUGGCUGUCGUCAGCUCGUGUCGUGAGAUGUUGGGUUAAGUCCCGCAACGAGCGCAACCCUUGUCCUUGGUUGCCAGCAUUAAGUUGGGCACUUUAAGGAGACUGCCGGUGUCAAACCGGAGGAAGGUGGGGACGACGUCAAGUCCUCAUGGCCUUUAUGCCCAGGGCUACACACGUGCUACAAUGGGCGGCACAAAGGGCAGCGACGCCGCGAGGUGUAGCAAAUCCCAAAAAACCGCUCUCAGUUCGGAUCGGAGUCUGCAACUCGACUCCGUGAAGUUGGAAUCGCUAGUAAUCGUGGAUCAGCAUGCCACGGUGAAUACGUUCCCGGGCCUUGUACACACCGCCCGUCACACCACGAAAGUCUGCUGUACUCGAAGUCGCUGAG
rnacentral:rRNA from 1 species